UGUAUAUUGGUUGGAAAUAAAAUCAGUCCCUUGCAUACAUCAGUCUCUCUCUGAGACUUUUCUAGUCCGUUGGGAAAAAAUGUGAAUUCCUCUAUUAAUAACACAUUGUUUAAAGGCAAACAGUUUUGAUAUUUCCUGAUAAAUGGAGGAACAAAUAAAGAAACAGUAGGUUAUAAAAUUACUAUUGUUAUAUUAUCAUCUAUAUAUUAAUAGUUUUUCUUUGUUUAUAUAUGUGGACCUUUGAAAUCAUGUAACUCUUGUUUUCAUAUAGGUGUGCUGAAGCCCUAUCCCCAAGAUGACUAUAUUUGGAGACAGGAUUUUUGGAGAAUCUCACUCUGUCACUUGGGCGAGUCUUGCUCUGUCUUCCAGGCUGGAGUGUAGUGGUGCAAUCUCGGCUCACUGCAAGCUACACCUCCCAGGUUCAAGCAAUUCUCCUGCCUCAGCCUCCCAUGUAGCUGGGACUACAGGUGCAUGCCACUAUGCCCUGCUAAUUUUUGUAUUUUUAGUAGAGACGGGGUUUCACCAUGUUAGCUAGGCUGGUCUCAAACUCCUGGCCUUAAUUUAUCUGCCUGCCUUGGCUGGCUGGGAUUACAGGCCUGAGCCACAGUGCCCAGCCUUAUAGUGAUUUUAAUUUAGUAUAUACUAUGUAUCCAUAUUUAUCCUUGUUUCCUCUCCAUCAAUAUGUUUCUAUAUAGAAAGAACCUGUUUUAACUUUGAAUGUUCAGUAUCAAGUAUUAAUAUAAUUAUUUUAACUUUGAUUUUAUUGCAUUUAUCCUGGUAUAUUUUUAUGUAUUUUUAAUAUUUAAUACUUUGUUCUUGUAAAUAGCAAAUACAUGGAUUGUCUUUAUUUUUUCAUUAGGAAUAUUUCAUCUUUUGGUUUAGAAAUUCAAAGCAUUCAAGUUUAUUAAGGUA
ensembl:lncRNA novel transcript